CCCAACCAACCGAGCCACCCAGGCGCCCCGAAUAUGUUCUCUCUUAACAUGGGCAUUACUAGGAUGCUGUUGGUAGGAGGCUGGGGAUACAAAAAGCAUCCAGCAAAGGAGUAUUGGACCAUUUCUACUGUCCUGAGAACUCAGAGAGAGGAUACAAUCAGUGGUCCUGCUUAUUGUGCUGGAAGGAAUCCCAGUAGAGCCCUCUCCCUUGUCCUUCCUUCCACCCCGGCCAGUGCAGAUGAGGACAGCAAAGGAGCUCCUGCAUUCUCCCAGUCUUGGGGAGAGAGAGCUGCAGAUUUGAGACCCUGGGAAUUGGAAGAACCAAACAACGUGCCUUGGAUGGCACAGAGAGCCAGGCUCAUACAGGUUCGGCCCAGGAUCUGGAUCUUGAUGAGAGCCCGUUGAUCGGAUUUCCAGCCACCAGGGAGGCCAACUAGCAAGAACAAAACUCAUCGUUAAACAAUUCUCUUCAAGACAUAAGCCCUUCUAGAGAUUUCAGUGCUCCACAAAUAAGCCAAAUUUGAGGCUCUCAACUGAGAACUCUGAAGUCUGGAACCUGGGGCUAAGAAGUCUCCUGUUUUUAUUAAUUAAAGAAGAUGUUUCAAAAUCAUCAGAUUUAUCACGACUGGAUUUC